rfam:Mesitornis unicolor contig15057, whole genome shotgun sequence.
GUUGGGAACAGCCUCGCAUGAUGACCCUUCUCUCUCUGAUGGCUGUGGUGGUGAUGAUCAUCAAACCAAAGCCUCUAAGAAGUUGACUGAAGAGGCCGUUCCUCU